rnacentral:tRNA from 1 species
AAGGCUGGCGAAUCUCCCUUGCAAGGAGAUUGUGGAGAGUUCGAUUCUCUUUACCUCCA